rnacentral:rRNA from 1 species
GACGAACGCUGGCGGCGUGCUUAACACAUGCAAGUCGAACGCUGAAGCUUGGUGCUUGCACUGGGUGGAUGAGUGGCGAACGGGUGAGUAAUACGUGAGUAACCUGCCCUUGACUCUGGGAUAAGCCUGGGAAACUGGGUCUAAUACUGGAUACGACAUGUCACCGCAUGGUGGUGUGUGGAAAGGGUUUUACUGGAUUUGGAUGGGCUCACGGCCUAUCAGCUUGUUGGUGGGGUAAUGGCUCACCAAGGCGACGACGGGUAGCCGGCCUGAGAGGGUGACCGGCCACACUGGGACUGAGACACGGCCCAGACUCCUACGGGAGGCAGCAGUGGGGAAUAUUGCACAAUGGGCGGAAGCCUGAUGCAGCGACGCCGCGUGAGGGAUGACGGCCUUCGGGUUGUAAACCUCUUUCAGCACGGAAGAAGCGAAAGUGACGGUACGUGCAGAAGAAGCGCCGGCUAACUACGUG